CGGCAGAUCCGUAUGCGGCUGCGCUAGCGGCUUCUCCGGCAGCGGCGGCGGCGGCAGCAGCGUAUGGAGUCGGCGCGAUGGCCACUCUCUACAGAGGAGGAUACAGCCGGUUCUCACCAUAUUAAUACACUUCCAGAUUCGCUGUCUCUCUGAAACUUCACCAACGGCUGCUGACCUCGGAGGGAAAAAUCCAAUCACGCUCUUGGACAAAAA